UCUCUCAAUCUGUUUUUCUCUUUGCCACCACUUACAUAUAUUCCCUUUUCUCAUAUUGUUGAUUGGUAAAUCUUGUCAUUGAUCUAAAAUCAAUAAUUUUUAACACGUCAUCAGCAUGAGUUUGCUCCACGGAUCUCUAGUCCAUUCUUCAAAAGCAAUCGAUCAUCACAUCCUGGACUUUAUGCAAGUAUGUGUAGGUGCUUUUAUUACUGCAGACUCCAGGAUAUUACUUACUACAUCUGUUUCCUACUUUCUUCAUUUUUUUUUAACAUCAAUCAAGUUUGUAUCAAGAUUUUGACCUUUCUGUCAAUGUUUUGAUAUCUGACUUUAUGCAAUGGCUUAUAAGAUAGGUAAAACUGUGACAGUCUGGCUUUACACCUGAAGCAUCCAUGUCGUCCAGAACCUUCAAUCCUCUAUGAAAAUGCUUCUGCAAAUAUAUGAA